AUUGAACGCUGGCGGCAGGCCUAACACAUGCAAGUCGAACGAGCGGCGGAAGGGUGAGUAAUGUCUGGGAAACUGCCUGAUGGAGGGGGAUAACUACUGGAAACGGUAGCUAAUACCGCAUACCAUCGGAUGUGCCCAUAUGGGAUUAGCUAGUAGGUGGGGUAAAGGGUAACCUAGGAGACGAUCCCUAGCUGGUCUGAGAGGAUGAUCAGCCACACGGGAACGGAGACACGGUCCAGACUCCUACGGGAGGCAUCAGUGGGGAAGAUUGCACAAUGGGGGCAAGCCUGAUGCAGCCAUGCCGCGUGUAUGAAGAAGGCCGUCGGGUUGUAAAGUACUUUCAGCGGGGAGGCGUUACCCGCAGAAGAAGCACCGGCUAACUCCGUGCCAGCAGCCGCGGUAAUUC
rnacentral:rRNA from 1 species